AUCGCUCUUUGAAAAAGCUUUAUAAGGAGUAAUGCCUGCCCAGUACUUUUAGUUUAACGGCCGCGGUAUCUUGACCGUGCAAAGGUAGCAUAAUCAUUUGUUCUUUAAUUGGGGACUUGCAUGAAAGGCAACACGAAAACUUAACUGUCUCUUUUUUUAAAAAAGAAUUUUAUUUUUUAGUGAAGAAGCUAAAAAUUAAUUGUAAGACGAGAAGACCCUGUCGAGCUUAAGAAAAUUCUUAUAAAAAUUUUAACUUAAGGGAUAAACUCUACCUCCCCAAAAAAAAUUUUCUAAUAAAGAAUAUCUUUGGUUGGGGCAACCACGAAGAAAAAAUAACCUUCGUUUAAUAAAAAAAAUUUACAAAUUUAAAAAAUUAUUAAAAUAAAUUUAUGAUCCAAAAAAUUUUGAUCAAAGAAAAAAGUUACCGCAGGGAUAACAGCGUUAUUUUCUUUGAGAGUUCUUAUUGACAAGAAAGUUUGCGACCUCGAUGUUGGACCGGGGUAUCCAAGAGAUGCAAAAGUCUCUAAAGGUAGGUCUGUUCGACCUUUAAAACCCUACGUGAU
rnacentral:rRNA from 1 species